rnacentral:rRNA from 1 species
UGCGUAGGCGGACUAAUAAGUCAGUGGUGAAAUCUCUCGGCUCAACCGGGAAACUGCCAUUGAUACUGUUAGUCUUGAGUUCGGUUGAGGUAGGCGGAAUGUGUAAUGUAGCGGUGAAAUGCUUAGAUAUUACACAGAACACCAAUUGCGUAGGCAGCUUACUAGACCGUCACUGACGCUGAGGCACGAAAGCGUGGGUAGCGAACAGGAUUAGAUACCCUGGUAGUC